rnacentral:rRNA from 1 species
UACAGAGGUCUCAAGCGUUGUUCGGAUUCAUUGGGCGUAAAGGGUGCGUAGGCGGCGCGGUAAGUCGGAUGUGAAAUCUCGGAGCUUAACUUCGAAACUGCAUUCGAUACUGCCGUGCUUGAGGACUGGAGAGGAGACUGGAAUUUACGGUGUAGCGGUGAAAUGCGUAGAUAUCGUAAGGAAGACCAGUGGCGAAGGCGGGUCUCUGGACAGUUCCUGACGCUGAGGCACAAAGGUCAGGGGAGCAAACGGG